rnacentral:lncRNA from 1 species
AUGAUUACAAAAAUGUUUUUUUGUAUAAUUUACCCCCAUAAAACAUUGAUAAAAACGGAUUUUUACCUCUUUACCCCCUCCUUCUCCAGGUCCCUGCCCCGUCUGCGCCGCCCCCUGCCGCCGCUUCCCCCUCCCCGAGCAGCCCCACGAGGCGCCGUUCCUCCGCAGCCCGGCCUCCGUCGCCCGCCAGCGCCUGGCGCACAUCUCCCAGGCCUGGCGCUUCCAGCGGGCGCAGGCGGAGCUGCUGCUGGGCUCCCAGCGCCAGGCCGCACGCCGGGCACAGGCGGCGCUGAGGGAGGCCCGCCAGGCGCUGGAGGCCAAGGAGAGGUGAGCGAGGGGAUUUUUGGGGAGGGGGCGGCCU